rnacentral:tRNA from 3 species
GGGGGCGUAGCUCAGUUGGUUAGAGCGCCGGCCUGUCACGCCGGAGGUCGCGGGUUCGAGUCCCGUCGCUCCCGCCA